rnacentral:lncRNA from 10 species
CCCUUAAUUAAUUUCUAAUUCUUCUACUUCUUUUCUUUGGCUACAAUAGCUUCUGCAGUUACAGCAUUUGAAUUCACAAAGUAUUAGUUGCCAAAAGGAAAUUUCUUUUAAGGAGCUAGUAUAUGAGCCAUAGAAAUUGUAUACUAAAACUCAAAUAGAGUACUUGCCUAAGAAUAUUUUCAAGUCGAUUUUUAAAACCUCUCUACUUUUAGAUGAAAAUAGAGAAUAGCUACCUCAAAGACAUAUGUAUUUUCCACUGAAAGGUGACAAUAUCAAAACUCACUUGUAAGUUAUUCUCUAUUUUCAGAAUAUAAAAUGACAUUUCAAGGCUCUCACUAAAAUUGCUGUAGUCAUAGCCAAUCCCACAGAAAUAAAACCAUCUAAGGUAAUGAUUUUCAAUCUAUGUUCCAAAAAAGGAGCUGGAGUAUUCCAAUUCUUUACCCGUGAUGCAUUUCAAAAAACUAUUCCCUUCUAUUUCUUGAACUAACAUUACUGUGAACUGCUAAAACUCUGAAAUCUCAGACUCUAAUUGUCCAGCAUUUGCUCAUAAAAUUUUAUCCUUCUAGGCUUAUCAUGCAAAUAAUAUUACAUCUCAACUUUGCUGAAACCUCCAUCCCCCUGAAGAGUUCCAGUCUCUUCCAUUUCUUUUGCCCUUCUCUCCCAUUAACUUCUUUCCAUUAUCUUUUACAUAAAAAGCCUAUGUCUUCAACUACUUAUUUUUUAGUGUGCACAUACUUCUUGCCCCCAAAGACUGAUGUUCAUCUUCUUUUAUUUGAUUCUGCACCAAUAAUUCUGCAAUGGAAUCAAAUUUGGAGAAAGAAUUUUUAAAGAUGGGUCUUAUACUAGAUAUUUGUUAAUUGGGGACUUGCUUAACUGACAGGGAGUAUUUCUCUAAAGAAUAAUCUAAUAAACUUGGUUCUGGGCAAAAAUGUAGUAACUGAGUUUUAUGCAUUAAGAAUGUAUUUCAUAUAAAUAAGAGAAUAGUUUCUCCCUCUAGCUAUAGGUAUUCCACCUAAUAACCAUGACUGAUUAGUGUUUAAUACAGAGAUGUCUUCCAAGUCUCCUCCAUUUUUUUCUUCCACACUUUUUAACUUUCUCUUUCUGUCUCUAGUUCACUUUUUGAAAGUUUUUAAAAACCUCCAAAGGAUGGCCAGGCAUGGUGACUCACAUCUGUAAUCCCAGCACUUUGGAAGGCCGAGGUUGGGAGAUCACUUGAGGUCAGGAGUUCAAGACCAGCCUGGCCAACAUGGUGAAACCUGUCUCCACUAAAAAUACAAAAAAUUAGUCUCUCAUCGUGGUGCAUGACCAUAGUCCCAGCUACUCGGGAGGCUGAGGCAGGAGAAUCGCUUAAACCUGGGAGGUGAAGGUUGCAGUGAGCCGAGAUCGCACCACUGCACUCUAGCCUGGGCAACAGAGCAAGAUUCCAUCUCAAAACAAAACACAACAAAACAAAAAGAUUAUAAAUUUAUAAUUAUUUAGCAAUGCAACAUUCUUUUAACAGAUUCUUUAACUGUGAUGAGUAGAGAUACAUUUUAUUGCCAAGUAGUAUUACACUUAAAGGCUAGCUAGAGGCUUCAUAGUCAAUAUACAUAAAACUAUAGACAAUUAGAUGCUAAGAAUUGCUUAAUAUAUUAUUGGAAUAUUUUUUCCACAAAAAAAAAAGCACCAGUUGGUGAGCUGAAGUUCCUUUGUUUCCCAAAACAGAGAAAAAACGGUUCAUAUUUUUAGUCAGUCUGUAUAGCUAUACUUUAAAUAUUAUUUCAGGAAUAAAUGAAAUAUAAUAUCAAAUAGAUAUAAUCUACAACAUCAGUAUUAGAAUAGUAUUGAUAACGUCUUUAUAACCAUGGAGUUUUGCUGUGUCACUGAAGCACUGUAUCAAGGAGGUGCCCUUUCAUUUUUUGUGAAGUUUUUCAUAUAAAAAAGCUAGAAGGAAUUUAUACAGUUUUUGUUUAAACAAAUUUGAAAAUUUAUUCUUUAAUUAUAUGGACAAAAAACUGAAAAAGUAAAAGAUGUGUUUCUUAUAUAUAUAAAGAAAUAUCAGGGACAUUAAUAUGAAAAUGCUUAUCUUAGGUGAUCUAUUAAAUAUAAUAUAGCUAAAAUGGUGAUAAUGUAAAAUG